rnacentral:rRNA from 1 species
AUUGAACGCUGGCGGCAUGCUUUACACAUGCAAGUCGAACGGCAGCGCGGGCUUCGGCCUGGCGGCGAGUGGCGAACGGGUGAGUAAUGCAUCGGAACGUGCCCAGUAGUGGGGGAUAGCCCGGCGAAAGCCGGAUUAAUACCGCAUACGACCUGAGGGUGAAAGCGGGGGACCGAAAGGCCUCGCGCUAUUGGAGCGGCCGAUGUCGGAUUAGCUAGUUGGUGGGGUAAAGGCUUACCAAGGCGACGAUCCGUAGCUGGUCUGAGAGGACGACCAGCCACACUGGGACUGAGACACGGCCCAGACUCCUACGGGAGGCAGCAGUGGGGAUUUUUGGACAAUGGGGGCAACCCUGAUCCAGCCAUGCCGCGUGCGGGAAGAAGGCCUUCGGGUUGUAAACCGCUUUUGUUCGGGAAGAAAUCCUCUGGGCUAAUACCCCGGGGGGAUGACGGUACCGGAAGAAUAAGCACCGGCUAACUACGUG